UUAUUAUUGUCUGUUAACUCCGUUAACUCACUAUCAUGCACUUUUUUUGCAGAAGACACGAUGGAAGAAACUAGGGGGAACUGGCAUCGUAGAUGCUACAAGGAGGGUCUUGAAGGACCUGCUUUCUGAUCACGUGGCUACGCACUACGGUUGGCAGGGAGGAAAAGGCAAGCGCCACUUCAGGGAGACAGCAUGCUGCGAAGUGAUGCUAGAUGUCCUAACAAGCAGAACUACUUGUGAUGGAACAGUGGCUGAAAUAGAGAAAGUGACAAAGUCAUGGUUGCGACACGCAAAAGAAAGAAUGGAGCGCAAUACAGUUAAGCAGCCAGAUAAUGGCAGAACCAAUGACGAAGCCGCACUUCCAACUGACCUGCGAGAAGCAAGCAUCAUGGAGGAAACGUCCCACAGGCUGCUGGACAUAGAAGCGGACAAUGACGAUUCUGACCUGUAAAUUUAGCUGAGUGUUUUCCAUGUUGUAUGCCAUUAGUCGUGUACAGUAUUUUGCAAACAAUCUUGCUUUGCACAUUUUCUCGGGUGCCCCACAUUGUACUGAUUAUUUUGUACUUAUUGCUGACUUUUAAAUGGGGUAAACUGCUUCUUUUGAUUUUUUUCGCAUUAUUGGUUCCUUGUGUUGCAGCGGUGUCUUGUGUUUCCUUAGACUACCAAGAGCACUGGCAGUAUAAACUAUUUUUACUGCAUAAUGUGUGUCCAUCCCCUUGUACUUCAUCUUAGCCUGUCGUCCUAUUAGCGGAUCAGGUUACGGCUUGUUUCUCAAGUUUUAUGGCUGCCCCAAACUAGCAAAUGUACCUCACCUGAAUACUAAAAGCUUACCAGCUGUUGCAAGUGUUCUGUAAAGCCUUUCUUAUUUUUAUGUAGGAUGCUGAUCAAGAAUGCAGUGGUUAAUACCCUUCUAUGGAGGCCCUCCAAUCAAUGGUGUCGACCAAAUGUUGCGUUAUUCCCAUUUACCGCCACCAAGCUACUUUUAGUCACCUGCGAUUUCAUGCGAGGGGAUUAAUCGCUACAUUGUGGGAACUGGUCGAUGACAUUGGCUGAAAGGCCUCAUUUGAAUGUCCUUUGUUGCUGUGUUCGUAGUUGUAUCUAUUUUUGUUUUUAAUUCAGAUCAUUCAAUUGACGUUUUUAGCAUUGUAUUUUCGAUGUUGUCCUUUUCUUGCACAUUUCCUGGUAGGCUUUUUCAAUACGUCAGGAAUGUUAUAUCUUGGUAUAUUACAAGCACCAAUAUAGCUGCCGCAUUUUGAUAUUACGAAUGCCGUGAAAUUUCCUUCUGUCACAAGGUGUGCACAGACUUUGGUCUGCUUUUGCUAGCCAGAAAGAAGUUCCUGUCUUUCGGCCCUCUCUUUACCGUGGUCGCCCCACUCCUAGUCAGAUAAAUUUUUUGUAGCAGCUAGCCUGAGCUGUUGACAUGAAAACAGUGUCUGUGUGAUGCGUGAAACUAGUCCUUUCCGCUUCUUGUGAACUGUUAUUGCAUUUAUUUACAUCACAAGCGUGUCGAUCACUACCAAUAAAAAAAGGGCCUUUAUGAUGUGUGCACAAC
rnacentral:lncRNA from 1 species